UUGAAUGAAGAUUGUUUCCUCCCUUUGUUUUUAACUGGUAGCGUUCUAAUUUGUGAGCUGACACUUGAUAAUGGAUGUCUUAAUCGUGUAGAUCUGAUUCACUGUCCGAAGUCUUGUUUACUUCCUUCCAUAUUUAAUGGGGAUUCCCACAUUGUCCCCCGCAGCACACGUGCUCUCUCACUCACUUUACAAGCCUACACACAGACACACAGUACACGUCUCUAACAGAAGAGAAGGGGCAGUUGGAGGUACGACUGAUAACCAGUGUAUCCUUUUCCAGCCUAGGUGCGUUCUCCACUUGGUGCUUACUCUGCUGGACUCAAAGAUUUCACCCAGGUAUUUCAAUCUCCCAGCUUUUAGUUGCUUUGUGGCUACAUUUGACCUUUAUAGGAUCCUUCAGUUUUUCCUUUUAGGAUGUUUGUUUGUAGGGGAAAAUUUUGGAACUAUAAGAAAGACAGUGCACUGCCUGUAAAUUCACAGUGUUUGGUAGAAUCCUUUUGGAGCACACACACAAGAAUAGGUACACAGCGACUGGUACCUUCUCUAUUGUAAAUAUUUCAUUCAAAAUGAUGCACAUAUAAAUAUAUUCUUACAGAAUUUGCUGUAAUUGUUGAUCCAUUUGAGGCUCUCCAAAGUUCUGAGUUCUGUAUAUGACCUCGUUCCUUGUUUUUGUUAAUGAAUUAUUUACUAUAGUAAUGUAUUAAGUUAUUUUGGGUGUUGUUUCAUUGUCUUUCAUCGAAGAGAUGAUUUUAAUGUUUUAUUGGCAAAGUAUGCUACUUUUUUCAUUAAAAUAUGCUAUUAAUAUUAAAUGACUUUU
rnacentral:lncRNA from 1 species